GAUGAACGUUAGCGGCAGGCUUAAUACAUGCAAGUCGUGGGGCAGCAUGAGUAGCAAUACUUGAUGGCGACCGGCAAACGGGUGAGGAACACGUACACAACCUUCCUUCAAGCGGGGAAUAGCCCAGAGAAAUUUGGAUUAAUACCCCAUAAUAUAUUUGAUAAGGCAUCUUAUUAAUAUUAAAGCUUCGGCACUUGAUGAUGGGUGUGCGGCUGAUUAGAUAGUUGGCGGGGUAACGGCCCACCAAGUCUACGAUCAGUAGCUGAUGUGAGAGCAUGAUCAGCCACACGGGCACUGAGACACGGGCCCGACUCCUACGGGAGGCAGCAGUAAGGAAUAUUGGACAAUGGACGAAAGUACUGAUCCAGCCAUGCCGCGUGAAGGAUUAAGGUCCUCUGGAUUGUAAACUUCUUUUAUAUGGGACGAAAAAGGGCAUUCUUGUUCACUUGACGGUACCAUAUGAAUAAGCACCGGCUAACUCCGUGCCAGCA
rnacentral:rRNA from 1 species